rnacentral:misc_RNA from 1 species
AAGUCGUAACAAGGUUUCCGUAGGUGAACCUGCGGAAGGAUCAUUAUCGAGUUUUGAAGUGGGGUUGUAGCUGGCCAAAAAAAUAAAGGCAUGUGCACACCUCAGCUCUCAUCCACUCUCAAACCCCUGUGCACUUAUCGUAGGCUUGGUGGGAUGGGCUGACCUUCGCAGGUCGGCUUUGAAAGCCUCGUCUAUGUCUUAUUACAAACGCUUCAGUUCAGAAUGUAAUCAAGUUGCUUUAAUGCAAAUUAAAUACAACUUUCAGCAACGGAUCUCUUGGCUCUC